ACCAGUGUGGUGUAGUGGUUGGAGCAUUGGGACUACAACUCUGGAGACCAGGGUUCAAAUCCCUGCUCAGCCA